ACGCUGGCGGCGUGCUUACACAUGCUAUUCGAACGAUGAAGCCCAGCUUGCUGGGUGCAUUAGUGGCGAACGGGUGAGUAACACGUGAGUAACCUGCCCUUAACUCUGGGAUAAGCCUGGGAAACUGGGUCUAAUACCGGAUAGGAGCGUCCACCGCAUGGUGGGUGUUGGAAAGAUUUAUCGGUUUUGGAUGGACUCGCGGCCUAUCAGCUUGUUGGUGAGGUAAUGGCUCACCAAGGCGACGACGGGUAGCCGGCCUGAGAGGGUGACCGGCCACACUGGGACUGAGACACGGCCCAGACUCCUACGGGAGGCAGCAGUGGGGAAUAUUGCACAAUGGGCGAAAGCCUGAUGCAGCGACGCCGCGUGAGGGAUGACGGCCUUCGGGUUGUAAACCUCUUUCAAUAGGGAAGAAGCGAAAGUGACGGUACCUGCAGAAGAAGCACCGGCUAACUACGUGCCAGCAGCCGCGGUAAUACGUAGGGUGCGAGCGUUAUCCGGAAUUAUUGGGCGUAAAGAGCUCGUAGGCGGUUUGUCGCGUCUGUCGUGAAAGUCCGGGGCUUAACCCCGGAUCUGCGGUGGGUACGGGCAGACUAGAGUGCAGUAGGGGAGACUGUAAUUCCUGGUGUAGCGGUGGAAUGCGCAAAUAUCAGGGACAACACCGAUUGCCAAAGCAGGUCUCUGGGCUGUAACUGACCCUGAGGAACGAAAGCCUGCGGAGCGAACAGGAUUAAAUACCGUGGUAGUCCAUGCCAUAAGCGUUUGGACACUAGGUGUUGGCGACUAUUCAAGGUUUCCCCGCCGCAACAUAAGGAAUUAA
rnacentral:rRNA from 1 species